AAUGAACGCUGGCGGCAUGCCUAACACAUGCAAGUCGAACGAAGGCUUCGGCCUUAGUGGCGCACGGGUGCGUAACGCGUGGGAAUCUGCCCUUGGGUUCGGAAUAACAGUUAGAAAUGACUGCUAAUACCGGAUGAUGUCGUAAGACCAAAGAUUUAUCGCCCAAGGAUGAGCCCGCGUAGGAUUAGCUAGUUGGUGGGGUAAAGGCCUACCAAGGCGACGAUCCUUAGCUGGCCUGAGAGGAUGAUCAGCCACACUGGGACUGAGACACGGCCCAGACUCCUACGGGAGGCAGCAGUGGGGAAUAUUGGACAAUGGGCGAAAGCCUGAUCCAGCAAUGCCGCGUGAGUGAUGAAGGCCUUAGGGUUGUAAAGCUCUUUUACCCGGGAUGAUAAUGACAGUACCGGGAGAAUAAGCUCCGGCUAACUUCGUG
rnacentral:rRNA from 1 species